GUGCUCGCUUUGACAGCACAUACACUAAAGUUUGAACACUACAGACAAGUUGAGCAUGGCCCCUGCACAAGGAUGACAUUAAAUUUGUGACGCAUUCCGUAUUUUU